UAUCUCUGGGAAAUAAAGGUCGGAUCAGCUGGUGAAAUUUCCAUGGACAGUUUUCAGACUGAGAUGUGAAGGAAGGGAAAAUAUGCUGCGUUUUUGGAGCUCGAUGGUCCUGUUGCUGUUUUGUUUGCAGCGCGUUUGUGCUUCGGGGUCUUCGCGGUGUGAGACUCCUGAAGGGAAAUGUGACUUUGUGUGUGAUUGUUCCGACUGUAGCGACGAGCAAAACUGUGGGUACUCUGGAAAAUCAUUUGAGUGUGACUUUGAGGAUGAAGGAGUGUGUGGAUGGAGGAUUGAAUCUGUUGGUGAGGAAUACAAAUGGCAGCGAGUUCAGAGCGGGGGCGAGCUGCCGGAGAGCGGACCGACUUCGGACUACACCACCGGCACAGCUACAGGCUGGUUCAUGUCAGUGAGUGCAGUGGGGGCAGAGUCUCUUCAGAGUUCAGUUCUAAUCUCUCCGGAGAUAAAGGGCUCUUCGCCGACGUGCCGCCUGCGACUCAGAUACUUCCUGUGGGACUCAGGACUCACGGGUUUAGGUCCAACUCCUCUGUGGGCUUCAAUCCUCCACCAGGACUCUCAGAAGGCCGUUGUGUGGCGCCCCGAGACCUCCAGCGCCCGCAGCUGGAGGGAAGCCACCGUCUUCCUGGGCCGCAUUUCCUCCCCUUUCCGGAUCCAUCUCCACUCGGCGCGCUCGGCGGGACAAAACGGAGACGUAGCCAUAGACCAGCUGGAGUUCCUGGACUGCGCUCUGCCCUCGCUCCCUGCUGGGACCAGCUGCCCAGAGGGGAUGGUGCUGUGUGGUGGUGAAGGCUGCGUGGAGCAGCGGCAGGUCUGCGACGGUACGGACGACUGCGGUGAUGGCAGCGACGAGGCGCCCUGCGAUGAUUACUACCGCUGUGACUUUGAGGAGGAUCUGUGUGACUGGGACCUGAGAUCGUUUUCCAAACUCAAAUGGAUCAGAACAAAUCAGGAGAACAUCUCCAGAACCGAUCCUUGGAAAGGUCCAGGCAGAGAUCACUCCAACAAUACAGCAUCAGGGUAUUUCCUGUACGUCACGGUCCCUGAUGGCGGUCUCACCAUGGACUGGGCGGCUUUUCAGAGCCCACGUCUUCAACCAACCAACAGCUCACAUCCAUGUAAGAUGGUCAUGUACACUCAUCAGUUCGGCCCGCGGUCCGGCGGGCUGACGGUGCUGGUGGCGGACCGGCUCAUCUACCCUGUCUGGGAAAGGGGCGGAGCUUUAGGAGACCUCUGGGUGAAGGCGGAGGUGGAGAUAGUGUCCAACUACACCUUCCAGAUUCUCAUCAUGGCAGCCAUCAGAGACCUGAACUAUGGAGGAAUCGCAGUCGACAGCAUCGUGUUGUCCCCUGAAUGCCGCCGGUCAUCUGAUAAUACCACCCUGGAAAAAUUCCCCAAACCUCCAAAGAAUCCUUGCAUUGAUGAUCCAGAGAAGAUGUGUGAUUUUCAGGCUGACUGCGAUGCUGCAGAGGACGAAGCCAAAUGCGGGGAUUUCUCCUAUCCUGAAGGCAGCUCAGGCUGGACUGACACCAGUAUUGGGAGUCAAGGUUGGCUGCUGGACAAAAGUUCAACAACUGGAGCAGAGUUCCUAUAUGUAGCUGAGGCUGCAGGUCAGCAGCUAACCGAAGCCCAGAUUCGGACUCCCCUCCUGGGCCCCACCGGUCCGGUGUGUAACCUGAGCUUCGACUUUGCGCUCACUGGGAGUUUGGACCACAUCGGUGAGCUUUCUGUCAGAGUGAUCGACAGCUUGUUGGGAGUGAGGCCCAACCUGUGGGAGUUCAGUGGGAAAACAGGAGCAGGGGACGAGGAGGAGACCUGGCAACACGUUGACGUUCCUGUAGGAGUCAGGAAACAUCGCUUCCAGCUGGCAUUUGAAGCUCGUGCUGUGGAGCCUUUUGCUUGGAUCAAAGUGAGGAAUGUUCAGUUCAUCAGCUGCCACGCCGACUACAUUCCAUCUUCACCGACAGGGGCGUCAUGUAUCUUUGAGGACGGACUGUGCGCUUGGUAUCAGGACAACAGUGACAACUUUGACUGGUCUGUGGUUACUGGGAUGGAUCACAGCAUCGGAGUAGGCAUGAGCCUCGUUGUGGACAUGUGGAGUCCUUCGCUGCGUGGAGCGUUUGGGCGCUUGCUUUCAUUCCCACAGCAGCCCACUGCCACAGAGAGCUGCCUGACCUUCUACUACAAACUCUACGGGCCGAACGCAGGUGCUCUGAACGUGAAGCUGACCGACGGCCUCGGAUAUGAGAUUUUACUGUGGACCCGCAGUGGCGCUCACGGCAACGAGUGGCACGAAGCGCACUGCCCAGUACCGCAGCAAAACACAAACUUUCAGUUGAUGUUCGAAGCAGUUCGGUCCGGUUUCGACGGCCAGGUUGCCAUCGACGAUGUGGCGUUUCUGGUCGGCCCGUGCACCAUACCCAGAAAAUGCUCCUUUGAAGGCCAGAAGUGUGGUUACAGCAGUUACGGCGCCAUAAACUGGCUCCACAGAAACGGACACACCACUACGGCGAACGGACCCAAAACAGACCACACUCUGGGGACCGAGCUAGGUUACUACAUGAUGGUCAACACAGACGCAGACGUUCUACCACCAGGUAGCGCCGCUGUCCUCAUCUCCCCCGUCCAACAAGGAACCACCAAACCCGAAUGUGUCAGUUUCUGGUAUCAUAUGACAGAAGGGAACCCAGCCUUCUUUACGGUGUACGUCAAACCCCAGAAGGGAGAGAGAGUCCCGAUCUUCUCUGAGAACCUGAAUGAGGGAGACGACUGGCGUCGCGUCAACGGCAACGUCUCCGUUGGACUUGUGUCGUGGCAGUUGGAGUUCGAGGUCGUCGGAUCAGGAAGUCGAGGUUCCCACGUUGCUGUUGAUGACAUCACAGUCUCGGCUUAUCCAUGUGAAGAUCAAGGGUCCAAGUGCAGUUUGGAGAACGGGAUGUGCAGCUGGAUCAACAUUCAGGACAGAGAACGGGAGAAGCUGGACUGGGAGCUGACCAGUCCGGAGAAGGAAAAGCAUUAUCCAGUCCCACCUCUCGACCACACACUGGGAACAGAGAAAGGUCACUUCCUGUUCUUCCCAAGCAGCAACCGGACAGCAGCCAAUGAAAAGGCCUGGCUGGUGAGCCCUCAACUGCCGCCGAUUAAGCCCAACUGUCUGAGGUUCUGGGCCUACAAGCCCCAGUCAUCGGACUGCCAGCUGAGGGUAUGGAGCCUAUCUGGAGGUAUCAUCUACCAGCAGCUGAUCGUGAACGAACUCAGUGGACCUUGGAGACAGUUUGAACUGAACAUCACGUCUCGUGAGGGAUACCAGAUUGUGUUUGAAGGCAUCAAAGGCACAUCAGGUUUUGUAGCUCUGGAUGACAUCGAGUACACCGUUGGGUUUGACUGCGCCACUAGAGACACAAAACCAACCUCGAAGCCGGACAACGCCGGAGGAAUCGCUGCCUCUGUGAUCGUGGUGGUGCUGCUGAUCGGCACCCUGGUCGCUCUGCUCGUCUUCUACCUGCGAACCAAACCAGAUGCCAACUCUCCAUCGCUCGCUAUCGGCAUUAGUAACGAAGGAUAUGUUCCAGAGGAUCCUGUGACUGUUCCUCCAACACAAAACCAUCCAAUGGCUGCAGGAUUCAACAACGUCUCUCCUCGAAGCCGGACAACGCCGGAGGAAUCGCUGCCUCUGUGAUCGUGGUGGUGCUGCUGAUCGGCACCCUGGUCGCUCUGCUCGUCUUCUACCUGCGAACCAAACCAGAUGCCAACUCUCCAUCGCUCGCUAUCGGCAUUAGUAACGAUGGAUAUGUUCCAGAGGAUCCUGUGACUGUUCCUCCAACACAAAACCAUCCAAUGGCUGCAGGAUUCAACAACGUCUCUAUUUCUGCCGAGGUCAGGAAGAGGGAGGAGGAGGAGUGACACGGGGAGCUUUGCUGCCGCCUAAUGGUGGCUUUGGGAAAUGCAGGUGAUAUAACAGCAGGAGAACUGCUUGUGUCACCCUAAAUGAUCACACCUACAUGUAAACAAACACACAUUUACACAGAAAACACAAAGCCAGAGCGCUGAUUAAUGCAGAUCUGAGGGGAUCCGGACCUCCAGCAUGGGGAAGUCGGAGCGACAUCGUGGCUCUCAGUACCGCUAAGCUGCAUGAAACGGGACUGAAUAAUAAAUCACUGCUGCGUUAGCGGGCGCUGAAGUGGGAACCUUGCAGUUCUGAGCAGAUUUUAGUUUUAGAUUAGAUUUUGAUCCUUUAUUUUUCAAUUUCUCUACCAAAUGCUGACUGGUUUUAGUUUAUUGGACCCGUUUUCUUCACCUCCCUUCUGAUAAAUGACCACAGCUCUGCAAAAACACAAAAUCUGACCAAGUACAUUUCUAGUGCAAAUAUCAUAGUACACUUGAAAUAAGACAAAAUUAACUUACAAAUAACUUUUCAGUAAAAUAUGUGUCACAUAACUUGUGUUUCCAUCAACCACAAAAACAUAAAAACAAAAUAAUUAAACAUUUAACUGAAGCUGGUAGAAAAUAAUCCAAAUGUCAAAGAGCUGUUAGGAGAUAAUGUCAGUUUUCAGGUAGUUUUUUAUAAUUGUCUUCCCAAAUUCUUCAGCUUUAUUAAUAUUUGUGUUCAAAUGAAGAAUGGAGAAGAAAUGAAAAACCUUUAUGUUGACAUGGUCGCCUGUUUCAAACUGAUCAUAAAUAAAGCUAAUUUUAAAGCUCUU